GAUGAACGCUAGCUACAGGCUUAACACAUGCAAGUCGAGGGGAAACGCCAUCGAAAGCUUGCUUUUGAUGGGCGUCGACCGGCGCACGGGUGAGUAACGCGUAUCCAACCUGCCCAUCACUUGGGAAUAACCUUGCGAAAGUAAGACUAAUACCCAAUGACAUCCCACGAAGACAUCUGAAUGGGAUUAAAGAUUUAUCGGUGAUGGAUGGGGAUGCGGCUGUUUAGCUUGUUGGCGGGGUAACGGCCCACCAAGGCAACGAUCAGUAGGGGUUCUGAGAGGAAGGUCCCCCACAUUGGAACUGAGACACGGUCCAAACUCCUACGGGAGGCAGCAGUGAGGAAUAUUGGUCAAUGGGCGAGAGCCUGAACCAGCCAAGUAGCGUGCAGGAUGACGGCCCUAUGGGUUGUAAACUGCUUUUAUAAGGGAAUAAAGUGGGUCGCGUGAGACUUUUUGCAUGUACCUUAUGAAUAAGGACCGGCUAAUUCCGUG
rnacentral:rRNA from 1 species